rnacentral:rRNA from 1 species
UACGUAGGGGGCAAGCGUUGUCCGGAAUCAUUGGGCGUAAAGCGCGCGUAGGCGGCCAGACAAGUCCGGUGUGAAAGUCACAGGCUCAACCUGUGAAUGCCGCUGGAAACUGUCUGGCUAGAGUCCGGAAGGGGCGAGUGGAAUUCCUGGUGUAGCGGUGAAAUGCGCAGAUAUCAGGAGGAACACCUAUGGCGAAGGCAGCUCGCUGGGACGGUACUGACGCUGAGAAGCGAAAGCAUGGGGAGCGAACAGG